AGGUUGUCCGUGGUGAGUUCGC
rnacentral:miRNA from 12 species